rnacentral:lncRNA from 1 species
AAUGUUCUUUUAAAUGAAAGAAGUUGCAUUUGAUACUACCACACACAUUAUGUUGUUAAAUAUCUACAGCAUGAUAAAAUCAUUCCAAAUGUCACCAAUCCCUGGGGGACUUAUUAAUAAUUAAGCAUUUUUAGUUCACUUAGGAAUGCAGAUUCCAUUUAACAGGAAAAUACACACUAAAUCUGUCCAUUAUACUGCAGCUUUCAACAGAAUGUGUUCGAGAUCUCAGCUGGGUUUCCCCAGGACAGAUGACAAAGUUAAUGCAGGUCUUUCCUAAAGCAGCACCCUGAAUUUGUGUUUAUUAGGAGUGUUUAUUAGAGUGACUAAUAAUGGAAGGAAGACGACUUGACAAGUGUUGGGGAGAGCUGAGAGGAGCCUAGAGGAGACUGGAUGAUCCUGAAGAAUGUAGGGCGGAACAGAGACUCAGGGUGUGAGGCCCACCGAAGAAGAUUCCUUUUGAAGAUGAUCAAGGAGACAAAGGGAGAGAGAGAUUUGUGUUUCAACGCAAAAUGUUAUUCUUCUGCCAAGGAUUGCUGUAUCAUCACAUUAACAAUAAGAUAAACAAACGACAAAAAUUCACUGAGAACAAUAAGCGGUGGUAAUUGCAUAUUCU